AUUGAACGCUGGCGGCAUGCCUUACACAUGCAAGUCGAACGGCAGCACGGGGCAACCUGGUGGCGAGUGGCGAACGGGUGAGUAAUGCAUCGGAACGUACCUUUCAGUGGGGGAUAACGUAGCGAAAGUUACGCUAAUACCGCAUAUUCUGUGAGCAGGAAAGCAGGGGAUCGCAAGACCUUGCGCUGAUUGAGCGGCCGAUGUCAGAUUAGCUAGUUGGUGAGGGAAAGGCUCACCAAGGCGACGAUCUGUAGCGGGUCUGAGAGGAUGAUCCGCCACACUGGAACUGAGACACGGUCCAGACUCCUACGGGAGGCAGCAGUGGGGAAUUUUGGACAAUGGGGGCAACCCUGAUUCAGCCAUGCCGCGUGAGUGAAGAAGGCCUUCGGGUUGUAAAGCUCUUUCGGCCGGGAAGAAAUCGCACGGGCUAAUACCCUGUGUGGAUGACGGUACCGGAAUAAGAAGCACCGGCUAACUACGUGCCAGCCGCCGCGGUAAAAC
rnacentral:rRNA from 1 species